rnacentral:ribozyme from 1 species
UGCCCAGCAACUCCUAUCCCUACCUCCUCGUGGUACAGACCGGAAACUAUGAGCAACCUUAGGGGCCGUCCAUAUACCACGUGGACAGA